ensembl:lncRNA
CCCACUCUGACAAUAAAAACUGGUUGAAGAAAAUGUUUACGGUUUAAUUGCUCUCCAUAUCAGCAACACAGGCCCUAAAAAAAGACAGUUAGGCAGAAAGAAAACAGCGGUGAGAACAUGACAGUAGAGGUGGUGGCACAGGCACAGGCACAGGCAACACUGAGAGAACAUGACAGUAGAGGUGGUGGCACAGGCACAGGUAACACUGAGAGAUCAUGACAGUAGUGGUGGUGGCACAGGCAACACUGAGAGAACAUGACAGUAGUGGUGGCACAGGCAAAGGCACAGGCAACACGGAGAGAACAUGACAGUAGAGGUGGCACAGGCACAGGUAACACUGAGAGAACAUGACAGUAGAAGUGAUGGCACAGGUAACACUGAGAGAACAUGACAGUAGUGGUGGUGGCACAGGCACAGGCACAGGCACAGGCAACACUGAGAGAACAUGACAGUAGUGGUGGCACAGGCACAGGUAACACAGAGAGAACAUGACAGUAGAGGUUGUGGCACAGGCACAGGCAACACUGAGAGAACAUGACAGUAGUGGUGGCACAGGCACAGGCAACACUGAGAGAACAUGACAGUAGUGGUGGCACAGGCACAGGCAACACUGAGAGAACAUGACAGUAGAGAAGGUGGCACAGGCACAGGCAACACUGAGAGAACAUGACAGUAGAGGUGGUGGCACAGGCACAGGCAACACUGAGAGAACAUGACAGUAGUGGUGGUGGCACAGGCACAGGCAACACAGAGAGAACAUGACAGUAGAGGUGGUGGCACAGGCACAGGUAACACUGAGAGAACAUGACAGUAGAGGUGGCACAGGCAACACUGAGAGAACAUGACAGUAGAGGAGGUGGCACAGGCACAGGCACAGGUAACACUGAGAGAACAUGACAGUAGAGGUGGUGGCAC